GCUGAGAGAAGGAUGUGAAUCCAGUGAAGGCAGUGCCAAGGACUGCAAUAUUAGAGAAAAAAGUUUCUUUCACUAAUAGGCAACUCAGCAGAGUUGGCUUGAACUUGGGCACAUCGUUUGGGUCCAAAAGUCCAGGUUGGGUUCUUGGACAUUGUAUUAAACUGAGCACAUCUGGGAUUUUGGUUAUAUUGAUUACUUUGAGACACACUGUCAGCAGCAUUCAGUCCUGUAACUUCCUGCUAAGGUAAUCUGAUGGUGUAUUUGGUACAGAAAAUGCCUGCUGGACAAGAAAUAUAACUAUAAACACUAGACUUUCAAUCCCUGACACAGCCUUUAAAAAAAUUAAUGGCCCUAAUUUUAGACAUCUUAAUCAGUACUUCUGGAUGAAAGCCAAAAGAAGUCUUGAUUCUCAGGUCUUUGGAAUAUUGCACUAUUUAGAUAUCUAAAUCCAUAGGUAGACACCUGACCCUGGACGAGUAAGUUUGAAACUUAACUUCAGUGUCUCAUUAGGUAUCUGGGUGAAACAAAGUAAAGUAAGCCCCAACCAGUUUUCUCUUAAGCUUGUGAACAAAACAAAAUAUUGUUUACAAACUAUAUUUUAUAAUUUGUGAGAGGAGACAAGUUUGAUUUUUUUAAAUUUAAAUUGUGAUACCCUUGAAUGGAAGGACCUUUGGACUUUUCUCUUUGAAAAAUCAUUUUAAAAUUUCUUUGUGAGGAAGUCAGCUUGUAUUAGUUAAGUAGGGUCCUUUCUUGCAACCAAGUAUAAUUGUCAUGGACAGCUUGUUGCCUAUUUCAAAUAUUGAGUUGUUACCGUAAUAAUUAUUUAGAACUAUACUUUUCAUUUUUUCAAUUCCUUUCACCCAAGGAUCUCAGGGCGCAGAUGGAAGUGACAUUUUUCAAGUGAUCUGGCCCCAGAAAGCACUUUAGAGCUGUGUCAUAACACACGUGCAUGGUUGCAGAGCACUUUUAAAAUGGCCUAUCAUGCAAAAAAUUAACCUUGGUUAAAUCAGGUAUUACAUUAAGGUGCUCAAAAGCAGAGCACCUUAGGGAACUUGUUUUCCCUCCAGGGUUUUUUUUUUGUGCAAUUGGCUAGUGGGGCUGGGCUCCCAGCUCAGCCCAGCAUCCCCCUCCCUACCCCGAGCUGUUAGGGGGAAGGAAGGGAGCUGCUGACUGCUGAAUGGCCAAAGCUGAAGGGGAGUAGGAUUGGGGCCUGCUUGCCUUGAACCCUCCCACCCUUAGCUACCCUGG
rnacentral:lncRNA from 1 species